rfam:Apaloderma vittatum contig40794, whole genome shotgun sequence.
GGUCCGGUUAGCUCAGUCAGCUGAGUGUAGUGCUAACAACGCCAAGGUCGCGGGUUCGAUUCCCGUUCGGUCCC